AAUAUAUUAAGCGCGGUUCCUUAUUCUCGACGUUUUCGGCAAGUUUUAGCUUCGGGUCAUUAUCGACGCGUGUAGGGGCGUCGUUGCGGUGGAAAAGUGGUCGGGUACCGAAAGGGAUCGAGACCGCGGUAAACCUCUGGUUGGUGCGGUAGAGAGGGAGGGAUGGAGACCGUGGUAAACACGACACGUGUACGUUGUUGAGCGGGAGAGUAAGUGGUACGGUGCGGUAUUCGUUAUUAGGAAGAGUUGUCAAAGAGUGCUCGAUCGUGUUUGUGGUGGAGCCGGGAGGCGGGAGCAUAAUGGACGAAGGCGGGGGAAACAUGUCGGAUGCGAUCAUACCAGCACUAAAGCACCGGAUCCCAUCAGAACUCCGAAGUUAAGUGUGCUUGGGCGAGAGUAGUACUAGGAACAUGCGUACGUGUGCGG
rnacentral:rRNA from 1 species